GCACAAGCGGUGGAGCAUGUGGUUUAAUUCGAUGCAACGCGAAGAACCUUACCUGGUCUUGACAUCCACGGAAGUUUUCAGAGAUGAGAAUGUGCCUUCGGGAACCGUGAGACAGGUACUGCAUGGCUGUCGUCAGCUCGUGUUGUGAAAUGUUGGGUUAAGUCCCGCAACGAGCGCAACCCUUAUCCUUUGUUGCCAGCGGUCCGGCCGGGAACUCAAAGGAGACUGCCAGUGAUAAACUGGAGGAAGGUGGGGAUGACGUCAAGUCAUCAUGGCCCUUACGACCAGGGCUACACACGUGCUACAAUGGCGCAUACAAAGAGAAGCGACCUCGCGAGAGCAAGCGGACCUCAUAAAGUGCGUCGUAGUCCGGAUUGGAGUCUGCAACUCGACUCCAUGAAGUCGGAAUCGCUAGUAAUCGUGGAUCAGAAUGCCACGGUGAAUACGUUCCCGGGC
rnacentral:rRNA from 1 species